GCUAAGAAGGGUAAAACCCGGAGAAUGCAAGCAGUUCAUCCUAAAACCUCUCUGCCUUCACUCCUGUUUGUCUGCUGGUAUACGGAUUAAGAAGUAGCUACUUAAUUAGAAAAAACAUUUGCUGAAAAUCAGAAAUUUGUAGUAGAAUUUACAACCCAAAAAUGGAGGAGGAGAAGAAGAAGAGCAAAGGCCGUGGCCAAAGAAGGGAGCAAGGAAAGAGGGGAUUGGAAAUUGAAGGGUAUCAAAUUGAAGGGAUAUCAAUAGCAGGGCAUGAGACCUGCGUGAUAAUCCCUUCUCUCAACUUAGCUUUUGACAUUGGAAAAUGCCCACAACGUGCUAUUUCGCAACAGUUCCUCUUUAUCUCCCAUGGCCACAUGGAUCACAUUGGAGGACUGCCAAUGUUUGUUGCAACUCGUGGAUUAUACAGAAUGGCAGCCCCAACUGUAAUUGUGCCAAAGACCAUAAAGGAAAAUGUUGAAACGAUUUUUCAAGCACAUAGAGAUAUGGAUCAAUCAGAAUUGAACCAUACUUUGAUUGGCUUGGAUGUGGGAGAAGAGUUUUACUUGAGAAAGGACCUUAAAGUAAAAGCCUUUAAGACUUACCACGUCAUACCCAGCCAGGGUUAUGUAGUUUAUUCAGUAAAGCAGAAACUUAAGGACGAAUAUAUUGGGCUUCCAGGGAACGAGAUAAAGAAAUUGAGGUUAUCAGGUGUGGAGAUUACAUAUACUACAACAACGCCUGAAGUUGCUUUCACAGGAGACACAACGUCAGACUUCAUUGUGGAUAGCAACAAUAUUGAUGCUUUAAGAGCAAAGAUCCUCAUUAUGGAAGAGGAAAGAGACAGAAGAAUCAAUUUGCAUGGGAUUUUGAGGAGGAAAGUGAGGUUAGACCAAAAGCAGGCUUCAUGAGGGGCUCAAUUUAAGAGCACAUAUGUUGAAGACACCAUGACGGUGGAUGAUGCAAGGGAUUAUGGACACACGCAUUUGUCAGAGAUAAUUCACUAUGCAGAUAUGUUUGAAAACAAAGCGAUUCUUUUGAUCCACUUUUCGGCUCGCUAUCAAUUGGAUGUCAUUCAACAUGCAAUUUCUUCACUGGCUCCACCUUUGGCAGGCCGAGUGUUUGCCCUUACAGAUGGUUUCUAAUUUGUGGACUCAAAAUACUUUCUAGUGUUAAACUUUUGCCUUUUGUUGUAAACAAGUUUCUUCCAUUCCAUCUUCACCUGAUGAUUUAAAAGUUGAAAAGGAAGUUUACUGUUGAUUCCUAAUUGGAUUUGACACUCAGUUGAUACUCAAUAGAUUCUAAUCCAUACAGAACGCAUUCUAGGCGUCCCAAAUCUUGGAAUGCCUGUUGAUGUUAGGCAAUAGGUAGUUGUAUUGAUUCUUUAGGGUUCAGUUUUGUAGUAUUUCUUUUUGCCAGGGUACCUUGUAUUGGAAUGUUGCCCAUUUUCCUAUGGGGUAAACCUAUAACCAUGAGCUUCUUGUUUUUACAA